GACGAAGGGGGCUAGCGUUGUUCGGAAUUACUGGGCGUAAAGGGCUCGUAGGCGGCCAACUAAGUCCGACGUGAAAUCCCCAGGCUUAACCUGGGAACUGCGUCGGAUACUGGAUGGCUUGAAUCCGGGAGAGGGAUGCGGAAUUCCAGGUGUAGCGGUGAAAUGCGUAGAUAUCUGGAGGAACACCGGUGGCGAAGGCGGCAUCCUGGACCGGCAUUGACGCUGAGGAGCGAAAGCCAGGGGAGCAAACGGG
rnacentral:rRNA from 1 species